rnacentral:rRNA from 1 species
AGGACGAACGCUGGCGGCGUGCUUAACACAUGCAAGUCACGGGGGCUCGCAAGAGCAACCGGCGAACGGGUGCGUAACACGUGAGCAACCUGCCGAUCUGAGGGGGAUAGCCGGCCCAACGGCCGGGUAAUACCGCAUACGGUUUUUGAGGGACAUCCCUUAGGAACGAAACCUCCGGGGCAGAUCGAGGGGCUCGCGGCCUAUCAGCUAGUUGGCGGGGUAACGGCCCACCAAGGCGACGACGGGUAGCUGGU